rnacentral:misc_RNA from 1 species
GAUGAAGAACGUAGCGAAAUGCGAUAAGUAGUGUGAAUUGCAGAAUUCAGUGAAUCAUCGAAUCUUUGAACGCACAUUGCGCCCUUUGGUAUUACUUAGGGCAUGCCUGUUCGAGCGUCAUUUAAACCUUCAAGCUAAGCUUGGUGUUGGGUGACUGUCCGCUUCACUGCGGACUCGCCUCAAAAUUAUUGGCGGCCGGUACAUUGGCUUCGAGCGCAGCAGAAACGCGAACUCGGGCCCGUCGUAUUGGCUCCCAGAAGCUAUCUUCACAAUUUUGACCUCGGAUCAGGUAGGGAUACCCGCUGAACUUAAGCAUAUCAAUAAGCGGAGGA